rnacentral:rRNA from 1 species
AGACGUCUACAUUAGAUACCCCGGGUAGUCCCAGCCGUAAACUAUGCGCGUUAGGUGUAUCGGUGACCACGAGUUACCGAGGUGCCGAAGGGAAACCGUGAAACGUGCCGCCUGGGAAGUACGGUCGCAAGGCUGAAACUUGAAGGAAUUGGCGGGGAGCACCACAACAGGUGGAGCCUGCGGUUUAAUUGGACUCAACGCCGGGAAGCUCACCGGAUAAGACAGCGGAAUGAUUGCCGGGCUGAAGACUCUGCAUGACUAGCUG